ACGCUGGCGGCGUGCCUAAUACAUGCAAGUAGAACGCUGAAGGAGGAGCUUGCUUCUCUGGAUGAGUUGCGAACGGGUGGGUAACGCGUAGGUAACCUGCCUGGUAGCGGGGGAUAACUAUUGGAAACGAUAGCUAAUACCGCAUAACAGUAGAUGUUGCAUGACAUUUGCUUAAAAGGUGCAAUUGCAUCACUACCAGAUGGACCUGCGUUGUAUUAGCUAGUUGGUGGGGUAACGGCUCACCAAGGCGACGAUACAUAGCCGACCUGAGAGGGUGAUCGGCCACACUGGGACUGAGACACGGCCCAGACUCCUACGGGAGGCAGCAGUAGGGAAUCUUCGGCAAUGGACGGAAGUCUGACCGAGCAACGCCGCGUGAGUGAAGAAGGUUUUCGGAUCGUAAAGCUCUGUUGUAAGAGAAGAACAGGUGUGAGAGUGGAAAGUUCACUCUGUGACGGUAUCUUACCAGAAAGGGACGGCUAACUACGUGCCAGCAGCCGCGGUAAUACGUAGGUCCCGAGCGUUGUCCGGAUUUAUUGGGCGUAAAGCGAGCGCAGGCGGUUAGAUAAGUCUGAAGUUAAAGGCUGUGGCUUAACCAUAGUACGCUUUGGAAACUGUUUAACUUGAGUGCAAGAGGGGAGAGUGGAAUUCCAUGUGUAGCGGUGAAAUGCGUAGAUAUAUGGAGGAACACCGGUGGCGAAAGCGGCUCUCUGGCUUGUAACUGACGCUGAGGCUCGAAAGCGUGGGGAGCAAACAGGAUUAGAUACCCCUGGUAGUCCACGCCGUAAACGAUGAGUGCUAGGUGUUAGACCCUUUCCGGGGUUUAGUGCCGCAGCUAACGCAUUAAGCACUCCGCCUGGGGAGUACGACCGCAAGGUUGAAACUCAAAGGAAUUGACG
rnacentral:rRNA from 1 species